ACUGCUCAGUAACACGUGGAAAAUCUACCCUUGGGUGGAGGAUAAUCUCGGGAAACUGAGGAUAAUACUCCAUAGGUCUGGUCUGCUGGAACGCUUCCAGACUGAAAGUUCCGGCGCCCAAGGAUGAUUCUGCGGCCUAUCAGGUUGUAGUGGGUGUAGAGGACCCACUAGCCUUCGACGGGUACGGGCGUUGAGAGACGUAGCCCGGAGAUGGAUUCUGAGACACGAAUCCAGGCCCUACGGGGCGCAGCAGGCGCGAAAACUUCGCAAUGCGCGAGAGCGCGACGAGGGAACCCCAAGUGCUUGUGCACUGCAUAAGCUGUUCAUAUGCCUAAAAAGCAUGUGGAGUAAGGGCUGGGUAAGACGGGUGCCAGCCGCCGCGGUAAUACCCGCAGCCCAAGUGGUGAUCAUUAUUAUUGAGCCUAAAGCGUUCGUAGCCUGUCUGUUAAAUCCCUGGGUAAAUCGGCCAGCUUAACUGUCCGAAUUCCGGGGAGACUGGCAGACUUGGGACCGGGAGAGGUCAGAGGUACUCUUGGGGUAGGGGUGAAAUCCUGUAAUCCUAAGAGGACCACCAGUGGCGAAGGCGUCUGACUAGAACGGAUCCGACGGUGAGGGACGAAGCCCUGGGGCGCAAACCGGAUUAGAUACCCGGGUAGUCCAGGGUGUAAACGCUGCAGACUUGGUGUCGGGAAUCCUACGUGGAUGCCCGGUGCCGGAGAGAAGUUGUUAAGUCUGCCGCUUGGGGAGUACGGUCGCAAGACUGAAACUUAAAGGAAUUGGCGGGGGAGCAC
rnacentral:rRNA from 1 species